ensembl:lncRNA
UAACCGUUUUAUUUCCUCUGCUAAACCGUAAGCCCUACAAGGGUAAGAACUUACUCAUUUUUGCAUUCUCUCCGCGCACGUCAUGCAGUUUCUAAAUGCGUGUUUUUUGUUAAGUGGCUGAAUACAAGAUAAACCUGGCUCAGAAGGGAAACCUUGGGUGGACUGUUGGUGAAGAAGUCGGAUUCCAGUUUAUGUUCUGUACUCCAGCUUGACCUGAGCAAAUCGAGAGGGUUCUCCCUUUGGGAGGCAGGCGGCCCCAGUGCCCCGUGUGCGUGAGACCGCUCCGCUGAGGUCACACUCACCUCUUCCUUCGUUGUGUCUCCACGAGGCAUUAGCCGCAGGCCCCGGGAUCCCAGGCCCUGUGGUUUCCGGAGGCCAGAGGGGUGGCGGACAGUGCCCGACGUUGCGGAAGAAGGAAGAAAAGAAGGUGUUUUUGUCCCGCCGGCUGGUGGCACCCGAAGAAGCCACCUCUGGGUCAGGGUGCGCUCAGUGCGUGUCCCGCCAAAUUCCUGUGUGGAAACCUCAUCCCCAGUGCGAUGGGGUGAGAGGCGGGGCCUUUGGGACGAGCUUAGGUCGUGAGCGGGGCGCGCUCAUCCACGUGACCAGCGCCCUUAUCACCAGGCCCCAGGGAGCUCCCUCGCCCCGUCGGCCCUGUGAGGACACAGUGAGUGGAUGGCUGUCUGGACCGGGCGGCGGGCUCUCCACAGACACCCCGGAUCUUGGACUUGCGGCCUCCAGCGCUGCGGGAAGUGAACGCUUCUGUUUACCAGCCACCCAUCCUGUGGGGGUCCUGGCGUGGGCAGAUACAGGCAGCAAUGGCUGGUCGCCGGUCUGCCGGUCACAUCUCGACUCGACCGCCUGCGGAGACCCCUAACGAGGUCACUUUCGCAGAUACCGGGGGUUAGGAGUUCAGCGUCCCUUCUGGGGACACGGUUCAUCCCAUGGCACCCCUACCAGCGUCAGGUCCUACACGCUUGUGUGCAUUCGUACGUUACUGUAUGUCUGGCCUGCAACGGAGCACCUGUUAACACGCACUUAGCGUGUUUCUGGGUCCUCGACGGCACGGGGGCCGCUCCGUGCUGCUGGCCAGAACCGGGUUCCGCUCUUGCUGUCACCUGCGUCCUCAGCAUGCUGUCUUUUGCCCUCAUGCUGGGUACCCCCGGGGUCCAGCCAGCUCUCCCCAGCUGCCGGCUCACAUCCGUGUCUGAGGUGGCGUGAGAGGGGGGCCGCGUCUGUCCUUUUUAUCAAGGAGGAACAGGCUUUUCCCAAAGCACCACGGCACAGGGGUGUCUGGGUGGCUCAAAGCGUCCGACUCUUGAUCCCCACCCAGGUCAUGAUCCCAUGGUUCGUGGGAUCGAGCCCCGCGUCGGGCUCUUGCUUGGGAUUCUCUCUCUCUCUCCCUGUCUCUUUGCCCCUCCUCCUCGUGCACUGCUUCCCUCUCAAAGUAAAUAAACUGAAACAAAACGCAAUAAACAAAGCACCGCGGCUGCCUCUGCACGUGUCUCCUUGAACCGGGCUGCCCGGCAGGUGAGAAGCAGCCAGAACCUGGAAGACCAUCCCUGAGAGACUGGACGGGACAGACCAUGAAGCCAGCGCCCCAGUGGUGCCUGGCCAGACUGUGCUGUCAUAAACUGUCCCUGCUUCUCUUACCUGUUCUGUGAUAGGCAGCAGUCCUCAGGGGACGAGGUCCAGACCAAGGUGCACGCGGCUUAGGUGUCCUUGGUGUCUUGCCAAUGUGAGUCUCCUCUGAGUAUUUGUGGUUUCAGGUGCCCUGGGCACCGAGGAAAUCACUGUCCCGUCCUGUUGAUUUCUGGAUGCCUGUGUGUCCGGCACCGGCUAAAUAUCUGUGGAACUUAACCCGGCAUCUUCCCCGUUCAAAGACAUCUGAGGCCAGAAACCAAUCUCGUCCAUUCCUUCUUUUGUUCUUUUGUCCGUUCACUUGGCAAACCUCCUCGGUUCCAAGGCAGAUGAAGGAGUACAGGGGGGAAGGCGAGGACAGGGCGCGAGGGAGGGAAGGGGGCCGGCGAGGCCCUUCCAGAACAGAUGGGGUGCGCUGUUCUGUAAUCAGCAGGCAGGUAUGCGCCCCGUAAGCUUUUGGAAUUUCAUAAAUUCCAGUUUCGUGGGCGUAAAAACAACCAGUCGGGACACACAGGAAUCCCUUUCCAUCGGGCAUCACUGCUCACCCUGCACUUUACCUAUUUGUGAAGGGGCUCAACACUUAAGGUGCGUGCUGUUUUGUUUUGUUUUUGUGUUGAAUGAAUAUUCACUGAGCCCAGACGGGAACAUGUCUCAGGAGGAAACGUUUUCAGUUUAUUCUGAAAUGGACUUGCUCUUCCCAUAGCAGCUUGGUGGCCAGGGGGACGGUUCUUAUCUGUUAAUACUUUUUUUUUUUUUUUUCAACGUUUAUUUAUUUUUGGGACAGAGAGAGACAGAGCAUGAACGGGGGAGGGGCAGAGAGACA